GACGAACGCUGGCGGUGUGCUUAACACAUGCAAGUCGAACGGAAAGGCCCUGCUUUUGUGGGGUGCUCGAGUGGCGAACUGGUGAGUAACACGUGAGUAACCUGCCAUUGACUUUGGGAUAUCUUCAUGAAACUGGGGCUUAUAGCGGAAAGGAUCUCCUGCUGCAUAGUGGCUGUUGGAAGGUUACGGCGGUUGGGGAUGAACUCGCGGCCUAUCAGCUUGUUGGUGGGGUAGUGGCGUACCAAGGCUUUGACGGGUAGCCGGCCUGAGAGGGUGACCGGCCACAUUGGGACUGAGAUACGGCACAGACUCCUACGGGACGCAGCAGUGGGGAAUAUUGCACAAUGGGCGGAAGCCUGAUGCAGCAACGCCGCGUGCGGGAUGACGGCCUUCGGGUUGUAAACCACUUUCGCCUGUGACGAAGCGUGAGUGACGGUAAUGGGUAAAGAAGCACCGGCUAACUACGUG
rnacentral:rRNA from 1 species